GAUGAACGCUGGCGGCGUGCCUAAUACAUGCAAGUCGAGCGAACAGACGAGGAGCUUGCUCCUCUGACGUUAGCGGCGGACGGGUGAGUAACACGUGGAUAACCUACCUAUAAGACUGGGAUAACUUCGGGAAACCGGAGCUAAUACCGGAUAAUAUAUUGAACCGCAUGGUUCAAUAGUGAAAGACGGUUUUGCUGUCACUUAUAGAUGGAUCCCCGCCGCAUUAGCUAGUUGGUAAGGUAACGGCCUACCAAGGCAACGAUGCGUAGCCGACCUGAGAGGGUGGUCGGCCACACGGGAACGGAGCCACGGACCAGACUCCUACGGGAGGCAGCAGUAGGGAAUCUUCCGCAAUGGGCGAAAGCCUGACGGAGCAACGCCGCGUGAGUGAUGAAGGUCUUCGGAUCGUGAAACUCUGUUAUUAGGGAAAAACAAAUGUGUAAGUAACUAUGCACGUCGUGACGGUACCUAAUCAGAAAGCCACGGCUAACUACGUG
rnacentral:rRNA from 1 species